rnacentral:rRNA from 1 species
UUGGAGGGCAAGUCUGGUGCCAGCAGCCGCGGUAAUUCCAGCUCCAAUAGCGUAUAUUAAAGUUGUUGCAGUUAAAAAGCUCGUAGUUGAAUUUCGGGAUUAGUACGUCGGUCGUGCCUUAGGUACGUACUGGUGUUACUGGUUCCUACCUUCUGACGAACCAUCAUGUCAUUAAUUUGGUGUGGUGGGGAAUCAGGACUGUUACUUUGAAAAAAUUAGAGUGUUUAAAGCAGGCUCGCGCUUGAAUACAUUAGCAUGGAAUAAUGAAAUAGGACGUUGAUCCUAUUUUGUUGGUUUCUAGGAUUGACGUAAUGAUUAAUAGGGAUAGUUGGGGGCAUUAGUAUUCAAUUGUCAGAGGUGAAAUUCUUGGAUUUAUUGAAGACUAACUACUGCGAAAGCAUUUGCCAAGGAUGUUUUCAUUAAUCAAGAACGAAAGUUAGGGGAUCGAAGACGAUCAGAUACCGUCGUAGUCUUAACCAUAAACUAUACCGACUAGGGAUCGGAUGAUGUUAUUUUUAAUGACUCAUUCGGCGCCUUACGGGAAAC